rnacentral:rRNA from 1 species
AGAACGAACGCUGGCGGCAGGCCUAACACAUGCAAGUCGAACGCCCCGCAAGGGGAGUGGCAGACGGGUGAGUAACGCGUGGGAACAUACCCUUUGGUUCGGAAUAACUCAGGGAAACUUGAGCUAAUACCGGAUACGUCCGCGAGGAGAAAGAUUCAUCGCCGAAGGAUUGGCCCGCGUCCGAUUAGCUAGUUGGUGAGGUAAUGGCUCACCAAGGCGACGAUCGGUAGCUGGUCUGAGAGGAUGAUCAGCCACAUUGGGACUGAGACACGGCCCAAACUCCUACGGGAGGCAGCAGUGGGGAAUAUUGGACAAUGGGCGAAAGCCUGAUCCAGCCAUGCCGCGUGAGUGAUGAAGGCCCUAGGGUUGUAAAGCUCUUUCGUCAGGGACGAUAAUGACGGUACCUGAAGAGAAGCCCGGCUAACUCGCGCCAGCAGCCGC